UACGUAGGGUGCGAGCGUUAAUCGGAAUUACUGGGCGUAAAGCGUGCGCAGGCGGUUGUGCAAGACAGAUGUGAAAUCCCCGGGCUCAACCUGGGAACUGCAUCCGAUACUGGAUGGCUUGAAUCCGGGAGAGGGAUGCGGAAUUCCAGGUGUAGCGGUGAAAUGCGUAGAUAUCUGGAGGAACACCGGUGGCGAAGGCGGCAUCCUGGACCGGCAUUGACGCUGAGGAGCGAAAGCGUGGGGAGCAAACAGGG
rnacentral:rRNA from 1 species